rnacentral:lncRNA from 1 species
GAGUUUGAGACAGAGUUUAAGAAUCAAUUUUGCCCCAUUAAUGUAGAAAAGACAGCAACUGAUUAGUUGGCAAAUCUUAUACAAUCGAGGUUGGUGUAAGAUUAUGUCUCUUGAUUUAAGUUUUUAUAUUUUUAAAUUGAUAAUUUUUGAAUGCAGAGAUAAUUGAUUGAUUCCUACAAGGUUUGAAAUCUAUGGUUUAGCGAGAAGUAGAACUAAGGGAUAUAUAAACAUUCAAAGAGGUAAUUUAGACUAUAGAGAGGGUUGAUGCUACAGAUUUCAAAAAUUAUAGAGUACAACCUAUAGUACGAAGUUCUAUGCUGCUAUCUAAUAAUAUGGCACAACAACCAAUAUCAAUAGAGAUUGAUGCUCUAUAA